rnacentral:rRNA from 1 species
GACGAACGCUGGCGGCGUGCUUAACACAUGCAAGUCGAACGGUAAGGCCCUUCGGGGUACACGAGUGGCGAACGGGUGAGUAACACGUGGGUGAUCUGCCCUGCACUUCGGGAUAAGCUUGGGAAACUGGGUCUAAUACCGGAUAGGACCACGGUCUGCAUGGAUUGUGGUGGAAAGCUUUUGCGGUGUGGGAUGGGCCCGCGGCCUAUCAGCUUGUUGGUGGGGUGAUGGCCUACCAAGGCGACGACGGGUAGCCGGCCGUGAGAGGGUGUCCGGCCACACUGGGACUGAGAUACGGCCCAGACUCCUACGGGAGGCAGCAGUGGGGAAUAUUGCACAAUGGGCGCAAGCCUGAUGCAGCGACGCCGCGUGGGGGGAUGACGGCCUUCGGGUUGUAAACCGUCUUUC